rnacentral:rRNA from 1 species
AGAGUUUGAUCCUGGCUCAGGACGAACGCUGGCGGCGUGCCUAAUACAUGCAAGUAGAACGCUGAAGAGAGGAGCUUGCUCUUCUUGGAUGAGUUGCGAACGGGUGAGUAACGCGUAGGUAACCUGCCUUGUAGCGGGGGAUAACUAUUGGAAACGAUAGCUAAUACCGCAUAACAAUGGAUGACCCAUGUCAUUUAUUUGAAAGGGGCAAAUGCUCCACUACAAGAUGGACCUGCGUUGUAUUAGCUAGUAGGUGAGGUAACGGCUCACCUAGGCGACGAUACAUAGCCGACCUGAGAGGGUGAUCGGCCACACUGGGACUGAGACACGGCCCAGACUCCUACGGGAGGCAGCAGUAGGGAAUCUUCGGCAAUGGGGGCAACCCUGACCGAGCAACGCCGCGUGAGUGAAGAAGGUUUUCGGAUCGUAAAGCUCUGUUGUAAGUCAAGAACGAGUGUGAGAGUGGAAAGUUCACACUGUGACGGUAGCUUACCAGAAAGGGACGGCUAACUACGUGCCAGCAGCCGCGGUAAUACGUAGGUCCCGAGCGUUGUCCGGAUUUAUUGGGCGUAAAGCGAGCGCAGGCGGUUUGAUAAGUCUGAAGUUAAAGGCUGUGGCUCAACCAUAGUUCGCUUUGGAAACUGUCAAACUUGAGUGCAGAAGGGGAGAGUGGAAUUCCAUGUGUAGCGGUGAAAUGCGUAGAUAUAUGGAGGAACACCGGUGGCGAAAGCGGCUCUCUGGUCUGUAACUGACGCUGAGGCUCGAAAGCGUGGGGAGCGAACAGGAUUAGAUACCCUGGUAGUCCACGCCGUAAACGAUGAGUGCUAGGUGUUGGAUCCUUUCCGGGAUUCAGUGCCGCAGCUAACGCAUUAAGCACUCCGCCUGGGGAGUACGACCGCAAGGUUGAAACUCAAAGGAAUUGACGGGGGCCCGCACAAGCGGUGGAGCAUGUGGUUUAAUUCGAAGCAACGCGAAGAACCUUACCAGGUCUUGACAUCCCGAUGCUAUUUCUAGAGAUAGAAAGUUACUUCGGUACAUCGGUGACAGGUGGUGCAUGGUUGUCGUCAGCUCGUGUCGUGAGAUGUUGGGUUAAGUCCCGCAACGAGCGCAACCCCUAUUGUUAGUUGCCAUCAUUCAGUUGGGCACUCUAGCGAGACUGCCGGUAAUAAACCGGAGGAAGGUGGGGAUGACGUCAAAUCAUCAUGCCCCUUAUGACCUGGGCUACACACGUGCUACAAUGGUUGGUACAACGAGUAGCGAGUCGGUGACGGCAAGCUAAUCUCUUAAAGCCAAUCUCAGUUCGGAUUGUAGGCUGCAACUCGCCUACAUGAAGUCGGAAUCGCUAGUAAUCGCGGAUCAGCACGCCGCGGUGAAUACGUUCCCGGGCCUUGUACACACCGCCCGUCACACCACGAGAGUUUGUAACACCCGAAGUCGGUGAGGUAACCUUUUGGAGCCAGCCGCCUAAGGUGGGAUAGAUGAUUGGGGUGAAGUCGUAACAAGGUA